rnacentral:rRNA from 1 species
UGGGGAAUUUUGGACAAUGGGCGCAAGCCUGAUCCAGCCAUGCCGCGUGCGGGAAGAAGGCCUUCGGGUUGUAAACCGCUUUUGUCAGGGAAGAAAUCUUCUGAGUUAAUACCUCGGGAGGAUGACGGUACCUGAAGAAUAAGCACCGGCUAACUACGUGCCAGCAGCCGCGGUAAUACGUAGGGUGCAAGCGUUAAUCGGAAUUACUGGGCGUAAAGCGUGCGCAGGCGGUUUUGUAAGACAGAGGUGAAAUCCCCGGGCUCAACCUGGGAACUGCCUUUGUGACUGCAAGGCUUGAGUGCGGCAGAGGGGGGAUGGAAUUCCGCGUGUAGCAGUGAAAUGCGUAGAUAUGCGGAGGAACACCGUGGCGAAGGCAAUCCCCUGGGCCUGCACUGACGCUCAUGCACGAAAGCGUGGGGAGCAAACAGGAUUAGAUACCCUGGUAGUCCACGCCCUAAACGAUGUCAACUGGUUGUUGGGAAGGUUCCUUCUCAGUAACGUAGCUAACGC